rnacentral:rRNA from 1 species
UACGGGGGGGGGCAAGCGUUGUUCGGAAUUACUGGGCGUAAAGGGCGCGUAGGCGGCCUGCUAAGUCGGAUGUGAAAUCCCUCGGCUCAACCGAGGAACUGCCUCCGAUACUGGCGGGCUUGAAUCCGGGAGAGGGAUGUGGAAUUCCAGGUGUAGCGGUGAAAUGCGUAGAUAUCGGGAGGAACACCGGUGGCGAAGGCGGCGACCUGGGUCGACACUGACGCUGAGGCGCGAAAGCGUGGGGAGCAAACAGG